rnacentral:rRNA from 1 species
AUUGAACGCUGGCGGCAGGCCUAACACAUGCAAGUCGAACGAGUGGCGGACGGGUGAGUAAUGUCUGGGAAACUGCCCGAUGGAGGGGGAUAACUACUGGAAACGGUAGCUAAUACCGCAUACCAUCGGAUGUGCCCAGAUGGGAUUAGCUAGUAGGUGGGGUAACGGCUCACCUAGGCGACGCUCCCUAGCUGGUCUGAGAGGAUGACAGGCCAACCAGAAAUUGGGCAGCGGUCCAUACUCCUAGGGGGGGCAGCAGUGGGGAUAUUUGCCAAAUGGGAGAAAGCUUGAUGCAGCCAUGCCGCGUGUAUGAAGAAGGCUUUCGGUUUGAAAAGUACUUUCAGCGAGGAGGCGUGACUCGCAGAAGAAGCACCGGCUAACUCCGUGCCAGCAGCCGAGGUAUAC